AAAGCCUUCAGGGGGUGGACAAAGCUGGCGCUAUAUAGAACCUUCAGAAGGCCGACAUAUUUAGAAUCUGAAGAGGAAGGUUGUUGUUGGGCACUCGACGAUCUAGAGCCGUAUACCUAUAUACAGCAAUGUCUACAGCUACUAGUUUACUAAUGGUGAUGUGUCUGCUAAUGUUCGGGUGCGUGUGUCUAGCAGACGACCAGUGCAAGACAACCUGUCUGAACUACUACUGGCGCUGUGGCAGGGAACAGGGAUGUCUGGAUUCGAACACCGAUCUCAGGAAGUACAGAUGCAACAAGAGAUGCUGGGACGCCACGACCACGUGCGUACGACGUUGUGACGAACAUGACGUCAACAACAGAUUCCAGGGUGACGAGUAGUCACUCGGUCAUAAUACGUGUCUGACAACAGGGCCGUAGCUAGGAUUUUUUGUUGGGGGUGGGGGGCAACUGAGUAGUUAAUAGUCUAAAACUCCUUAAACAGUUAAGAAGAUAUUUUGUUUUAAGUUUCUAUAAUGCUUUCCGUAUUUUUUCCGCUAGCUACGGCCCUGGACAAACGUCAUUGUGACGUCAUCUCUGACAGUCUUCUUGGCGUCCAAGAUACGCUAGCUGAGUUGCAUCUAUGGGCGAUGAUUUUUUAAGACCUGUUGCAAGGAUCAAUACAAAAUGAAUGUCA